AGAGAGAGAGAGAGUGAGAGUGAGAGUGAGUGAGUGAGUGAGUGAGUGAGUGAGAGUGAGGUGACCGGGUGGGAAAAGGGACCGAAGCGUCGUCGGGAAAGAGAGAGUAGGAGAACGAAGGAAGACCAAAGCCAAGGAAGAAGGAGAGCAGCAGCUUGGCGGCGCGAGUCACGACGUGGACGAAGAGUCUCGAGACCCGGUAAAGACGGACCCUCGGUGCGCGUACGCUUUUCAUAGCGCGCGCGCGCGCGUCUCCGUGUGUGCGUGUGCGUGUGCGCGCGCGUGUGGAGUUAUCGCACGCACGUACUCCAGCGAGUCUGGGGUAAGUCAGGAUGACCAGCAGUGAGACGCCGACGACGAGUAAUGUGGAAACGGAGUAUCUGGAGAUCAACUCGAAAAAUGCCUGGCCAAUGCUUUAUCAGUAUACGCGUAAUGAGUGCAGUCAUUUUGAAUAUACCUACGAUGAAAGUACAAAACCACAAAAUAGAUCAUUAAAUCGUUACAGAGAUGUCUGGCCAUACGAUCAUACAAGAAUUGUCCUCAAAAAAGGUCCAUGCGACUAUAUUAAUGCAAACAUUGUGCGGAUGGAGCGAGCCCAAAGGCAAUAUAUCUUGACGCAAGGACCUUUGCCAAACACAAUCAGCCACUUUUGGCUAAUGGUGUGGGAGCAAAAUAGUAAAGCAAUAAUAAUGCUAAACAAAGUAAUUGAGAAAAAUCAGGUGAAGUGCCAUCAAUAUUGGCCACUCGACGGUUCAUCCGAUCACACAAUGAACCUUACCGAUGUUGAUCUCAAAGUGGAAUAUAUCAGUAAAACUGAGUCAUCUGAUUACACGAUUUGCACACUGAGAUUAACGGAUACUGAAUCGCAAAAAAGCCGAGACAUACUGCACUUUCACUACACCACGUGGCCGGACUUCGGUGUACCCAGGAGUCCCGCAGCGUUUUUACGAUUUUUGGCGGAUGUGAGGCAAUCCGGUGCCCUGGACCAGAACGUCGGCCCACCCAUUGUACAUUGUUCGGCCGGCAUUGGCAGAUCAGGCACAUUCUGCCUGGUAGACACAUGUUUAGUAUUGAUUGAAGAGAAUGGUUUGAAUUCCGUUAAUGUACGAGAAGUCUUGAUAGAAAUGAGACAAUCUCGAAUGGGCUUGAUUCAAACGCCAGACCAAUUACGAUUCUCGUAUGCAGCCAUCAUCGUGGGAUCGAAACAAUUGCCUCUUAAUAACGUGAAUGUGGACAAUAGUGAAAUAGGAAAUGCGCAAAAUGAUAUAUAUAGUUUUAAUUAUACGACACCAGAAGUUACAGAAGUUGUGGAACAACCUCCUCUGCCACCUCCGAGGGGGGAAUCCUUAACUCGCAGCAUGAUGUCGGAUUCGACGCCUGGCCCCAUUACGGAUAAUGAAAAUUCUGGAAACAAACCUCCUGACAAGCCACUACCGUGCGAACCAUCAGCAGGCAUCGAUUCAAAUUCUACUGGUUCGUCGAAUCACGUUGGUGAACAAAAUGCUUCUAGUGGCGAUGCAUCAACAAAACGUAGUAAAAGCGAUGGAGACAAUUCAUUUCAGACAAAUAGUCCACCGUCCAGUCCCGAUUCGAAGAACGAAUUGCGUCGACGGCGAAUGGAGAAAAAGGACAGAAUUGAUGCGCAGGUGCGGGAAAUGAAACGACGACAAAAGCAAUCGGAAGACUGGCAGAAGCUCAAGAGAUCGAAAAACGAAAGCAGCGAGCAGAGCGAAAAGACACAACAAGAGACUGAGUCGCCAAGUUAGUCAGAAUCAAUGAGCGUCAGUGUCGAGAAAUAUAAUCGCAACUUCUGUGAAUGUGUUUGCGACCUCCUUCCCGCAAUUCUUCAUCUUCUCCUAUUAAGUGACCAAUCAAGUAGUAAUUUUGCAAUGCCGAACUCGAUGAACAAGAAGCAGGCCCAGCCAAAGACCUUGCCGCUGAUAAGUGGUCCAGAAAUCCUCGAUGAUCCGGAAGCUUUAAUUAAUUCCGACUCUUACGAUCCCCGUCAGCGCGUCAAACGAAUCCCCGAUCUAUUCGAUUCUCCACCGGAAGCAAUCGAGAUUCCGUCGCAUGAAAUGUCAUCCUCUCUCCGUACAGUAUGCCAAAUGCUUUGUGCUUA